ACCUCUGUGGUGUAGUGCUAGCAUGCGUCCCCUGUAUGGAUGAAACCCGGGGUCGACUCCCGCCUGAGGUC